rnacentral:tRNA from 1 species
GAUAUUAUAGUUUUUUAAAAAAUAUUUAUUUUGCAGAUAAAAGAAAGAAUUUUGUAUUCUUGAUAUUC